rnacentral:ribozyme from 1 species
GAAGAGACAAGAAGAAAAAAAAAAAAGAAGCAGAAGCAGAGGGAGAGGUCUCGCACCCCUUCCUCCUCUUCCUCUUCGAGUUAUGUUUCUUCUUCGUCAAGUGUCAUUUGCAUUUCUUCAUCUUCCUCUAUGUCUUCUUCUUUGUCAGCCUCGUCUUCUUCCUCUGACAGCGAAAAAAGGGUGUCAAGGGAGCGAGAUCGGAAGAAAAGACGAACA